ACGCUGGCGGCACGCCUAACACAUGCAAGUCGAACGAAGUAGCAAUACUUAGUGGCAGACGGGUGAGUAACAUGUAGGUAUCUGCCCUUUGGCCUGGAAUAACACGAGGAAACUUGUGCUAAUACCGGAUAAGUCUUUACGGAGAAAGCUUUAUGCACCAUUGGAUGAGCCUGCACUUGAUUAGUUUGUUGGUGGGGUAAUGGCCUACCAAGACUGUGAUCAAUAGCUGAUUUGAGAGGAUGAUCAGCCACAUUGGGACUGAGACACGGCCCAAACUCCUACGGGAGGCAGCAGUGGGGAAUCUUGCACAAUGGAGGAAACUCUGAUGCAGCGAUGCCGCGUGAGUGAAGAAGGCCCUUGGGUUGUAAAGCUCUUUCGUCGGGGAAGAAAAUGACUGUACCCGAAUAAGAAGGUCCGGCUAACUUCGUGCCAGCAGCCGCGGUAAUACGAAGGGACCUAGCGUAGUUCGGAAUUACUGGGCUUAAAGAGUUCGUAGGUGGUUGAAAAAGUUGGUGGUGAAAUCCCAGAGCUUAACUCUGGAACUGCCAUCAAAACUUUUCAGCUAGAGUUUGAUAGAGGAAAGCAGAAUUUCUAGUGUAGAGGUGAAAUUCGUAGAUAUUAGAAAGAAUACCAAUUGCGAAGGCAGCUUUCUGGAUCAUUACUGACACUGAGGAACGAAAGCAUGGGUAGCGAAGAGGAUUAGAUACCCUCGUAGUCCAUGCCGUAAACGAUGUGUGUUAGACGUUGGAAAUUUAUUUUCAGUGUCGCAGCGAAAGCGAUAAACACACCGCCUGGGGAGUACGACCGCAAGGUUAAAACUCAAAUGAAUUGACGGGGACCCGCACAAGUAGUGGAGCAUGUGGUUUAAUUCGAAGAUACGCGCAGAACCUUACCAACACUUGACAUGUUCGUCGCGACUUUAAGAGAUUAAAGUUUUCGGUUCGGCCGGACGAAACACAGGUGCUGCAUGGCUGUCGUCAGCUCGUGUCGUGAGAUGUUGGGUUAAGUCCCGCAACGAGCGCAACCCUCACUUUUAGUUGCCAUCAUUAAGUUGGGCACUCUGAAAGAACUGCCAGUGAUAAGCUGGAGGAAGGUGGGGAUGACGUCAAGUCCUCAUGGCCCUUACGUGUUGGGCUACACACGUGCUACAAUGGUAUCUACAACAGGAAGCAAGACUGCGAAGUUAAGCAAAUCCCUAAAAGAUACCUCAGUUCGGAUUGCACUCUGCAACUCGAGUGCAUGAAGCUGGAAUUACUAGUAAUCGUGGAUCAGCGUGCCACGGUGAAUGCGUUCCCGGGUCUUGUACACACCGCCCGUCACACCAUGGGAGUUGGUUCUACCUUAAGGCAAGGUUUCAAACCCUUGACCACGGUAUAGUCAGCGACUGGGGUG
rnacentral:rRNA from 1 species